GACGGAGGAUGCAAGCGUUAUCCGGAAUGAUUGGGCGUAAAGCGUCCGCAGGUGGCAGUUCAAGUCUGCUGUCAAAGACCGGGGCUUAACUUCGGAAAGGCAGUGGAAACUGAACAGCUAGAGUAUGGUAGGGGCAGAGGGAAUUCCUGGUGUAGCGGUGAAAUGCGCAGAUAUCAGGAAGAACACCCGUGGCGAAGGCGGCUCUCUGGGACGGUACCGACGCUGAGACGCGAAAGCGUGGGGAGCGAACAGG
rnacentral:rRNA from 1 species